UGUGCGUGCAUGUUAGCUAAUAGAGAUUCUUAGAUCAAUGACUCCAGUGGACGGGCAGAUAGGACAAGACACAGAGCUCAUGGGCCCUCCUGAAGUGCUGUGGCCCAAUCCCGAGGCUUUGGUGAAGAGAAACUUGCCAUGUUUACAAGUAUCAGUAUACAGAGCCCUACCUUCCAGCAGUCCACAGCAGGGUCUCUUUUGGAAUCUGCCCAGGCACUUUGGAACAUGCAAAAGGAACAGCAUAAGCAUUCAGAGCAGAAGGGGGUAAUGUCCUGUGCCUGCUGCCCUCUGCAGGAGAUCAUUGAGAUCAGAGAUGGAGAAUUCAUCUGGACUUAGGACUGCAGCCACUUUUAUCAGCGGCAGCACUUAUUAUUAUAUUAAAUUAAUCAUUUGAUAUCAGCAUUACAUAAAUUAA